UCCAUAGCCAUAUCACCCUGUACCCCAAGACUGGUUGCCCACUGAAGCUAAGCAGGGUUGAGCUUGGCCAGUACCUGGAUGGGAGACCUCCUGGGAAAACUAGGUUGUUGCUGGAA
rnacentral:rRNA from 1 species